CAGUAACCACGGUAAUACGUAGGUGGCAAGCGUUGUCCGGAAUUAUUGGGCGUAAAGGGCUCGCAGGCGGUUUCUUAAGUCUGAUGUGAAAGCCCCCGGCUCAACCGGGGAGGGUCAUUGGAAACUGGGAAACUUGAGUGCAGAAGAGGAGAGUGGAAUUCCACGUGUAGCGGUGAAAUGCGUAGAGAUGUGGAGGAACACCAGUGGCGAAGGCGACUCUCUGGUCUGUAACUGACGCUGAGGAGCGAAAGCGUGGGGAGCGAACAGGAUUAGAUACCCGUGUAGUCCCUGUCUCUUAUAC
rnacentral:rRNA from 1 species